rnacentral:rRNA from 1 species
UACGUAGGGUGCAAGCGUUAAUCGGAAUGACUGGGCGUAAAGGGCGCGUAGGCGGAUGGCACAGUCAGAUGUGAAAUUCCCGGGCUUAACCUGGGGGCUGCAUUUGAUACGUGUUGUCUUGAGUUCGGAAGAGGGUCGUGGAAUUCCCAGUGUAGAGGUGAAAUUCGUAGAUAUUGGGAAGAACACCGGUGGCGAAGGCGGCGACCUGGUCCGACACUGACGCUGAGGCGCGAAAGCGUGGGGAGCAAACAGG